rnacentral:rRNA from 1 species
UAGAGUUUGAUCCUGGCUCAGAACGAACGCUGGCGGCGUGGAUAAGACAUGCAAGUCGAACGAGAGAAUUGCUAGCUUGCUAAUAAUUCUCUAGUGGCGCACGGGUGAGUAACACGUGAGUAACCUGCCCCCGAGAGCGGGAUAGCCCUGGGAAACUGGGAUUAAUACCGCAUAGUAUCGAAAGAUUAAAGCAGCAAUGCGCUUGGGGAUGGGCUCGCGGCCUAUUAGUUAGUUGGUGAGGUAACGGCUCACCAAGGCGAUGACGGGUAGCCGGUCUGAGAGGAUGUCCGGCCACACUGGAACUGAGACACGGUCCAGACACCUACGGGUGGCAGCAGUCGAGAAUCAUUCACAAUGGGGGAAACCCUGAUGGUGCGACGCCGCGUGGGGGAAUGAAGGUCUUCGGAUUGUAAACCCCUGUCAUGUGGGAGCAAAUUAAAAAGAUAGUACCACAAGAGGAAGAGACGGCUAACUCUGUGCCAGCAGCCGCGGUAAUACAGAGGUCUCAAGCGUUGUUCGGAAUCACUGGGCGUAAAGCGUGCGUAGGCUGUUUCGUAAGUCGUGUGUGAAAGGCGCGGGCUCAACCCGCGGACGGCACAUGAUACUGCGAGACUAGAGUAAUGGAGGGGGAACCGGAAUUCUCGGUGUAGCAGUGAAAUGCGUAGAUAUCGAGAGGAACACUCGUGGCGAAGGCGGGUUCCUGGACAUUAACUGACGCUGAGGCACGAAGGCCAGGGGAGCGAAAGGGAUUAGAUACCCCUGUAGUCCUGGCAGUAAACGGUGCACGCUUGGUGUGCGGGGAAUCGACCCCCUGCGUGCCGGAGCUAACGCGUUAAGCGUGCCGCCUGGGGAGUACGGUCGCAAGAUUAAAACUCAAAGAAAUUGACGGGGACCCGCACAAGCGGUGGAGUAUGUGGCUUAAUUCGAUGCAACGCGAAGAACCUUACCUGGGCUUGACAUGUAAUGAACAACAUGUGAAAGCAUGCGACUCUUCGGAGGCGUUACACAGGUGCUGCAUGGCCGUCGUCAGCUCGUGUCGUGAGAUGUUUGGUUAAGUCCAGCAACGAGCGCAACCCCUGUUGCCAGUUACCAGCACGUGAAGGUGGGGACUCUGGCGAGACUGCCCAGAUCAACUGGGAGGAAGGUGGGGACGACGUCAGGUCAGUAUGGCCCUUAUGCCCAGGGCUGCACACGUACUACAAUGCCCAGUACAGAGGGGGCCGAAGCCGCGAGGCGGAGGAAAUCCUAAAAACUGGGCCCAGUUCGGACUGUAGGCUGCAACCCGCCUACACGAAGCCGGAAUCGCUAGUAAUGGCGCAUCAGCUACGGCGCCGUGAAUACGUUCCCGGGUCUUGUACACACCGCCCGUCA